rnacentral:rRNA from 1 species
GAUGAACGCUGGCGGCGUGCUUAACACAUGCCAGUCGAACGAGAAGUGAAGACGGAAACCUUCGGGCGGAAGGCUUUAUUUCGAGUGGCGGACGGGUGAGUAACGCGUGGGUAACCUGCCUCAUACAGGGGGAUAACAGUUGGAAACGACUGUUAAUACCGCAUAAGACCACAGCACCGCAUGGUGCGGGGGUAAAAACUCCGGUGGUAUGAGAUGGACCCGCGUUCGAUUAGCCAGUUGGCGGGGUAACGGCCCACCAAAGCGACGAUCGAUAGCCGAUAUGGAGGGAUGACAGGCAAAAUGGGGGCUGGGACACGGCCCAAACUCCUGCGGGAGGCAGCAGGGGGGAAUAUUGAAAAAGGGGGGAAACCCGGUGGGAGCGACGCCGGGUGAGGAAAAAAGUAUUUCGGUAAGUAAAGCUCUAUGAGCAGGGAAGAAAAUGGCGGUACCUGAGUAAGAGGCCCCGGCGAACUACGU